rnacentral:rRNA from 1 species
UACGUAGGUCCCGAGCGUUGUCCGGAUUUAUUGGGCGUAAAGCGAGCGCAGGUGGUUUAAUAAGUCUGAUGUAAAAGGCAGUGGCUCAACCAUUGUGUGCAUUGGAAACUGUUAGACUUGAGUGCAGUAGAGGAGAGUGGAAUUCCAUGUGUAGCGGUGAAAUGCGUAGAUAUCGGGAGGAAGGUCGGUGGCGAAGGCGGCCUCCUGGGCCUGCACUGACGCUGAGGCGCGAAAGCGUGGGGAGCAAACAGG